rnacentral:rRNA from 1 species
GACGAACGCUGGCGGCGUGCUUAACACAUGCAAGUCGAACGGAAAGGCCCUGCUUUUGUGGGGUGCUCGAGUGGCGAACGGGUGAGUAACACGUGAGUAACCUGCCCUUGACUUUGGGAUAACUUCAGGAAACUGGGGCUAAUACCGGAUAGAAUCUCCUGCUGCAUGGUGGUGGUUGGAAAGUUUCGGCGGUUGGGGAUGGACUCGCGGCUUAUCAGCUUGUUGGUGGGGUAGUUGCUUACCAGGGCUUUGACGGGUAGCCGGCAUGAGAGGGUGACCGGCCACAUUGGGACUGAGAUACGGACCAGACUCCUACGGGAGGCAGCAGUGGGGAAUCUUGCACAAUGGGCGGAAGCCUGAUGCAGCAACGCCGCGUGCGGGAUGACGGCCUUCGGGUUGUAAACAGAUUUCGACUGUGACGAAGCGUGAGUGACGGUAAUGGGUAAAGAAGCACCGGCUAACUACGUG